GAUGAACGCUGGCGGCGUGCUUAACACAUGCAAGUCGAACGAAACACCUUAUUUGAUUUUCUUCGGAACUGAAGAUUUGGUGAUUGAGUGGCGGACGGGUGAGUAACGCGUGGGUAACCUGCCCUGUACAGGGGGAUAACAGUCAGAAAUGACUGCUAAUACCGCAUAAGACCACAGCACCGCAUGGUGCAGGGGUAAGAACUCCGGUGGUACAGGAUGGACCCGCGUCUGAUUAGCUGGUUGGUGAGGUAACGGCUCACCAAGGCGACGAUCAGUAGCCGGCUUGAGAGAGUGAACGGCCACAUUGGGACUGAGACACGGCCCAAACUCCUACGGGAGGCAGCAGUGGGGAAUAUUGCACAAUGGGGGAAACCCUGAUGCAGCGACGCCGCGUGAGUGAAGAAGUAUUUCGGUAUGUAAAGCUCUAUCAGCAGGGAAGAAAAUGACGGUACCUGACUAAGAAGCCCCGGCUAACUACGUG
rnacentral:rRNA from 1 species